AUGGGAGCCAUCGCUUAUCCAUCUUUCUUGAGUUGGUGGAGGUUCACCGCUUAAAUGGAGAACAGCACGAGGCAGCAAAGGUUUUACAAGAUGCCAUCCAUGAGUUUUCUGGAACUUGCGAAGAAUUACGUGUCACUAUUGCUAAUGCAGACAGAGAAAUUGCUGAAAGGAUGCCCAGCCCCCGGUCUUUCCUGCUCCUUGGUGAUGCAUACAUGAACAUUCAAGAGCCCGAGGAAGCCAUAGUGGCCUAUGAGCAAGCAUUAAAUCAGAACCCAAAAGAUGG
rnacentral:lncRNA from 1 species